rnacentral:rRNA from 1 species
CCGCCGGCGACCGGCGCACGGGUGAGCAACACGUAUGCAACCUGGCCGUGACAGAUGGAUAACCGGGAGAAAUCCCGCCUAAUACAACAUAAUGCCGGGAGGGGACAUCCCCUGCCGGCCAAAGGGGGCGACCCCGGUCACGGAUGGGCAUGCGGCGCAUUAGGUAGUUGGUGGGGCAACGGCCCACCAAGCCGACGAUGCGUAGGGGUUCUGAGAGGAAGGUCCCCCACAUUGGAACUGAGACACGGUCCAAACUCCUACGGGAGGCAGCAG